AAUUCCUCAACCAUGCCCAGUCAUGGGUGUGGCUUGGAUAACUGGGGGUUGUGGGCUUUUUAGAAAUGAUAAAAAGCUGGCUCCUCUGAAAUGCAUUAGUGGCAGAGAGAAAGACCACUACAGGUGUGAUUAACUAUCUACAUCUUUUGGUUAUCAUGUUAUGCUGCUUCUAAACCUAGUAGUGCCCAUGGCACAUUUUGACAA
rnacentral:misc_RNA from 1 species